AUAACUUCUCAGCCUUUUGGCUAAGAUUAAGUGUAGUAUCUAUUCUUAUCAUUUUAAUAAAUAAUAAAAUAUGUUUUACAAAAAAUAAAUAUAUGAACCCAAUUUUUUUUUUUUUGACAGGCAGAGUGGACAGUGAGAGAGACAGAGAGAAAGGUCUUCCUCUUGCUGUUGGUUCACCCUCC